rnacentral:rRNA from 1 species
GACGAACGCUGGCGGCGUGCUUAACACAUGCAAGUCGAACGGAAAGGCCCUGCUUUUGUGGGGUGCUCGAGUGGCGAACGGGUGAGUAACACGUGAGUAACCUGCCCUUGACUUUGGGAUAACUUCAGGAAACUGGGGCUAAUACCGGAUAGGAGCUCCUGCUGCAUGGUGGGGGUUGGAAAGUUUCGGCGGUUGGGGAUGGACUCGCGGCUUAUCAGCUUGUUGGUGGGGUAGUGGCUUACCAAGGCUUUGACGGGUAGCCGGCCUGAGAGGGUGACCGGCCACAUUGGGACUGAGAUACGGCCCAGACUCCUACGGGAGGCAUCAGUGGGGAAUAUUGCACAAUGGGCUGAAGCCUGAUGCAGCAACGCCGCGUGCGGGAUGACGGCCUUCGGGUUGUAAACCGCUUUCGCCUGUGACGAAGCGUGAGUGACGGUAAUGGGUAAAGAAGCACCGGCUAACUACGUG